UUGAACGCUGGCGGCAUGCUUUACACAUGCAAGUCGAACGGCAGCGCGGGCUUCGGCCUGGCGGCGAGUGGCGAACGGGUGAGUAAUACAUCGGAACGUGCCCAGUAGUGGGGGAUAGCUCGGCGAAAGCCGGAUUAAUACCGCAUACGACCUGAGGGUGAAAGCGGGGGAUCUUCGGACCUCGCGCUAUUGGAGCGGCCGAUGGCAGAUUAGCUAGUUGGUGGGGUAAAGGCCUACCAAGGCGACGAUCUGUAGCUGGUCUGAGAGGACGACCAGCCACACUGGGACUGAGACACGGCCCAGACUCCUACGGGAGGCAGCAGUGGGGAAUUUUGGACAAUGGGCGAAAGCCUGAUCCAGCAAUGUCGCGUGUGUGAUGAAGGCCUUCGGGUUGUAAAGCACUUUUGGCGGGAACGAAAAGGACUGUGCCAAUACCACGGUUCGAUGACGGUACCCGCAGAAUAAGCACCGGCUAACUACGUG
rnacentral:rRNA from 1 species